rnacentral:rRNA from 1 species
GACGAACGCUGGCGGCGUGCUUAACACAUGCAAGUCGAACGGAAAGGCCCUGCUUUUGUGGGGUGCUCGAGUGGCGAACGGGUGAGUAACACGUGAGUAACCUGCCCUUGACUUUGGGAUAACUUCAGGAAACUGGGGCUAAUACCGGAUAGGAGCUCCUGCUGCAUGGUGGGGGUUGGAAAGUUUCGGCGGUUGGGGAUGCACUCGCGGCUUAUCAGCUUGUUGGUGGGGUAGUGGCUUACCAAGGCUUUGACGGGUAGCCGGCCUGAGAGGGUGACCGACCACAUUGGGACUGAGAUACGGCCCAGACUCCUACGGGAGGCAGCAGUGGGGAAUAUUGCACAAUGGGCGGAAGCCUGAUGCAGCAACGCCGCGUGCGGGAUGACGGCCUUCGGGUUGUAAACCGCUUUCGCCUGUGACGAAGCGUGAGUGACGGUAAUGGGUAAAGAAGCACCGGCUAACUACGUG